rnacentral:misc_RNA from 1 species
GGAAUCUUGGACAAUGGGGGCAACCCUGAUCCAGCCAUGCCGCGUGAGCGAUGAAGGCCUUAGGGUUGUAAAGCUCUUUCAGCGGGGAAGAUAAUGACGGUACCCGCAGAAGAAGCCCCGGCUAACUCCGUGCCAGCAGCCGCGGUAAUACGGAGGGGGCUAGCGUUGUUCGGAAUUACUGGGCGUAAAGCGCACGUAGGCGGAUCGGUAAGUCGGGGGUGAAAUCCCGGGGCUCAACCCCGGAACGGCCUCCGAAACUCCUGGUCUGGAGGUCGAGAGAGGCGAGUGGAAUUCCGAGUGUAGAGGUGAAAUUCGUAGAUAUUCGGAGGAACACCAGUGGCGAAGGCGGCUCGCUGGCUCGAUACUGACGCUGAGGUGCGAAAGCGUGGGGAGCAAACAGGA